AUAGUUCGACGCCUAUAGGUCCUCAUUCACAGUCUCAAAAGUGGAGUCCAUGGCCUCAGUAACCGCCGCAAAAGCCCUCUGCCUCUUCACCGCCACCUCCUCUGCCUGCCGCCAACCUCAACUCCCCCCUCUCCUCUGCCUCGGUUUCUUUCUCCUCCUCCCUCUCGCGAUCCCCCUUCCUGGGCUUGCACCUUGCCGUGCCUCCCAACACACCGUGUUUCCGCAAGUGGACAGAGGGACGGGGCCUCCGGAUCGUAGCGGCGGUUCGGCCCACGGUUCUGGUGGCCGAGAAGCUGGGGGACGCCGGGCUGCAGCUGCUGUGCGAGUUCGCCAGCGUGGACUGCUACAACCUCGUGCCGGAGGAGCUCUGCGACAAGAUCUCGCUCUGCGACGCCCUCAUCGUGCGCAGCGGGACGAAGGUGACGCGGGAGGUGUUCGAGGCGUCCAAGGGCCGGGGUCGGCAUCGGCUAUGUUGACCUGCAGGCCGCGACCGAGUACGGAUGUCUUGUCGUCAACGCGCCCACCGCCAACACCGUCACGGCUGCGGAGCACGGAAUCGCGCUACUCGCCCAGGCGGAUGCGUCUAUGAAGGCCGGUGAGCUCCUUUUUCUCUAUUCCUUUCCCCUUUUUUUGUCUUCUAUUCUUCUAUUGAUGCUGUAGGAUUGGCUCUGAUGAACAAGUGAAGUAAAUGGAGCGGAUCUAAUCCCAGGAUGUGGACAAUGAGAGCUACAUAGAUCCGCCGUUUAGUUGUUUGUACUAUUGCGAUCGCCUGAUUACAUUGUCGAGAAACCUGCUAAAUUAUGGCUGAUGAUUGUUUGGACUAAGAUUCAUCUCCUUUCUCUUUAUGAGAAGAACAGGUCGACUAGCACAGGAUAUUUUCUCUGGUAUCGAACAGAGAUAUCUUAUUACAUGAAUUAAUUGUGUUAUUGAACUUGCAACAUUUCGAUUUUCUCAUGAUCUGUGAAUUUCUUUUCAUUAAUAUUCGUGAUUCAUUGCCUGUUUUUCCCUAAUUAUUGAGCAAAGAGUAGGAUAGAUUCCCCUUCAUUUCUGUUAUUUCAUAUAACUUAGAUUGCCAACUUAAUUGGCUAAAGUAAGAGACUUUUGAUUUGGUGGUGCUGAUUUAUCCCCUGGUUUUCUGGUCUAAAUUUUUGGAUUCAAGUUGUGUUAAUUUUACCUGACUGGAACCUUGUUUCAGAGGCAAAUCAUUAUUUGAUACUGCAAUAAUUUGGACAAUUGGUUUGAUUGUUAAGAUGACCCUUAUGAAUGCUAAUUUAAAAUAUUCAACAUAUGUAAUUAUCCUAAGCAAUAACUUGAUACGGUAAAGUACUUAAUGUGCUUCAUUUGCAUAAAGUGCAUUUCAUUCUGGUUGACAACAUGAAGUUUUUUUUGGGUAUGGAAAGCAUCUUAACGAGCACCCCUUAAACUUUUUUUCUUGGUUACCUGUGAUUGAACCCUAAUCAUAUCUGUCUAUUGUCUGUUUGGAAUGUCUUAAGAUCUUGUAUUGGCAGCAAAAGUUUUACUGUACUUAACAGUUGGUAAAAGUCAAGAUGUGGGAUUUGGAACCUUUUUCUGAAGAAUGUGAAUGCACAUUACUGUAUACUGAUUUUCAUUUGUUUUAUUGUUUAAGGAUGUCAUACCUUACAGAAUAACUUUUCUUCAGGUAACAAUUUUAGAAGUAUACUUCUUCCUUUUCGAUUUAUUGUAAUCUAUAUCAUAAUUCGUGAGUACUCUAAAAUCUUGAGUUAAUUCUUGAGAUCUUAUGGAAACUAUUAUUGAGAAGAAUCGUAUCUUUGACAUUUGCAGUAUACUUUUUUUUUUCAAUCAACCUCUAUCUAGUCAAUAGCAAUAUUUAAUUAAGUAAAAUAUUGAAACUUAUUAAAGGAUUUACUUAAACCUGUAUACUGUUCUAUUUUGCAAAAUUGACAACAAAACUCAUAGUAGUUUUUUGUUAGACUUAGGAGGCCAAAGAUAUAACACAUGUUAAACAAUUAUAUUUGCUGAAAUAUAGCAGAAAAAAGAAUUCAUGUUCAUAUCUUGUGCAAAAUGGUUUCAUUUCUGAGUAAUUUUCAUGUUCUAAAUUUGAAAAAUAAAAAAUAAUAAAAAUCCUAUGUGUUGUUAUGUAUGGUUAACAAAUGAUAAGGCGGAUAUUGAAUGCUCGUGAGAUUUAUCCUUUCUUUGUAAUAAUCAACUCUUUGUGUGUAAACACGUAGUUCUUUUUCUUUUUUCAAUGAUAUGUCAGUCUUAUCAUUUGUUGGUUAAGGUUAUCUGUUGUCUUUCUUUAUGACUUAAAAAUUUAGAUUGUUAACCAAGCAGCAAGCUAUGUGAUUGUGAUACUCAGGGAAAUGGCAACGCAACAAGUAUGUUGUUGUCUCUCUAGUAGGAAAGACACUGGCUUCGAUGGAAUUUGGAAAAGUUGGUUCCGAAGUCCCUAGGCAUGCAAGGGGACUAGGGAUGCGUGUUGUAGCUCAUGAUCCUUAUGCUCCAGCUGAUAAAUUCCGUGCCUUCGGUGUAGAACUCGUAUCAUUUGAUGAAGCCAUUUCUGCUGCAGAUUUUAUCUCCCUCCACUUGCCACUCUGCUCCAAGCGCUGCAAAGAUCUUCAAUGAUGAAGCAUUUGCAAAAGUGAAGAGAGGAGUUAGGAUCAUUAAUGUUGCCAGGGGUGGAGUUGUUGAUGAAGAUGCUUUGGUCAAAGCACUUGAUAAUGUUACAGUUGCUCAGGGAGUCUUCUGACUUUAACCUUCAAAUAUGUUUUAGCUGCCAAUUGUAUGAACUUAUAUGUAUCAAUUACCAUCUACUGUUUUGUUGCUUGCUUACCAUUUGAUCAUAUUACCUGAUCUUUGGCUCAGGUUUAAAAUUUGGGAAAAAUGCUAUUUUUGUUUAAUUAGUAAACAAAAAUGGCAUUUUUGUUUAACAAAAAUACUUGUUAUAUCAUGACUGUACCCUUUUCCCGUCAGGUUCUUUCUCAGCUAGCCCCUUACAUCAUCCUCGAUGAGAAACUAGGAAGUCUGGCUGUCCAACUAGUAGCUGGUGGAAGUGGAAUCAAGGGGGUCAAGAUUAUACUGCCAACCAAAGAGGCCUCCGCAUUAGCAGAUGAGAGAAAUUUUCAUGACAACUCUCCUGAGAUCCCUCUGGACUCGAUCCAGGUCCACCUGACACUAAUGCGGAGUCGAAAUUUGUUAGUAUCUUGUCUGAUGCUGGUGACAUACUAGUGGAAGGAAAGGCAGGUCGACCACCCGGGCAUGACUGGACAUAUGAGGAGAAUACUUGGAGACGAGAAUGUGAAUAUCAACUUUAUGAGUGUGUAUAACUGCACCAAAGAAGCAGGCCAUAAUGGCCAUUGGUGUGGAUGAGAAACCUGACAAGGAAACGCUCAACAUUGGCGAGGUACCAGCCAUCGAAGAAUUUGUGUUCCUUGGACUAUAGUCUUGAGAUCUUCCAUGGCUGCAAUUUUUAAGAUCCUGAUUGUUGCAUGGUACAAAUAAAUGCUCGGAGGGCAUCAUUUCAUGGUACUUUGACAGGUCCUGACAGAGAGAGUAGGAUAGAUAUAUAUUUUUUUUUUCUUUUUUCUGAAUGCUGCUGUUCUAGCCCUAUCGAUCUUCUCGUUGGAUUCAAUAUUUCAGUUUGAAUAGGGUAUAUGCA